rnacentral:rRNA from 1 species
AAAUUGAAGAGUUUGAUCAUGGCUCAGAUUGAACGCUGGCGGCAGGCCUAACACAUGCAAGUCGAGCGGAAACGACACUAACAAUCCUUCGGGUGCGUUAAUGGGCGUCGAGCGGCGGACGGGUGAGUAAUGCCUAGGAAAUUGCCUUGAUGUGGGGGAUAACCAUUGGAAACGAUGGCUAAUACCGCAUAAUGCCUACGGGCCAAAGAGGGGGACCUUCGGGCCUCUCGCGUCAAGAUAUGCCUAGGUGGGAUUAGCUAGUUGGUGAGGUAAUGGCUCACCAAGGCGACGAUCCCUAGCUGGUCUGAGAGGAUGAUCAGCCACACUGGAACUGAGACACGGUCCAGACUCCUACGGGAGGCAGCAGUGGGGAAUAUUGCACAAUGGGCGAAAGCCUGAUGCAGCCAUGCCGCGUGUAUGAAGAAGGCCUUCGGGUUGUAAAGUACUUUCAGUUGUGAGGAAGGGGGUAGCGUUAAUAGCGCUAUCU